AAUGAGUACAAUUCAAACCCUUUAACGAGGAUCUACGAGAGGGCAAGUCUGGUGCCAGCAGCCGCGGUAAUUCCAGCUCUCGAAGUGUAUAUCAUUGUUGUUGCGGUUAAAAAGCUCGUAGUUGGAUCUGCGUCUUUGGAGCCGGUCUUCCCAACGGGACAGCACUGGUCUCCUGGACUAAAAUGGCUGGUUUUGCCUUGGUGCUCUUAACUGGGUGCCUUGGCUGACUAGCAAGUUUACUUUGAAAAAAUUAGAGUGCUCAAAACAAGCGUUUGCUUGAAUACUGGUGCAUGGAAUAAUGGAAUAGGAUCUCGGUUCUAUUUUGUUGGUUUUCGGAACGUGAGAUAAUGAUUAAGAGGAACAGACGGGGGCAUUCGUAUUGCAGCGCUAGAGGUGAAAUUCUUGGACCGCUGCAAGACGAACAACUGCGAA
rnacentral:rRNA from 1 species